GAUGAACGCUGGCGGCGUGCCUAACACAUGCAAGUCGAACGGACAGACGAUGAGCUUGCUCCUUUGACGUUAGCGGCUGACGGGUGAGUAACGCGUGUAUCACCUACUUAUAUUUCGGGGAUAAUUACGUAAGACAGGAUCUGAUACCAGAGAAUAUAUUGUACCGCAGUGUGCAAUGGUUAAUCACGGUUUUUGUGUCUGUUAUAGAUGGUUCCGGGCUGCAUUAGCUAGUUGGUAAGGUAAAGGCUUACCAAGGCGACGAUGCGUAGCCGAUCUGAGGGGAUGAUCAGCCACACUGGAACUGAGACACGGUCCAGACUCCUACGGGAGGCAGCAGUAGGGAAUCUUGGGCAAAGGGCGAAAGCCUGACGGAGCAACGCCGAGUGAGUGAUGAAGGCCUUCGGGUCGUAAAACCCUGUUAUUGGGGAAGAAAAACUGUGUGAGUAUAUCUGGACGUUCUGACGGUACCUAAUGAGAAAGCAACGGCUAACUUCGUG
rnacentral:rRNA from 1 species